AAGUUUUUGCCUUUUUCUCUCUUCAGCUUUUUGAUUUACAAAAACUUCUUAAUAGAGGAGCAUCAUUUUUCUUUUAUAGUUGAGUGAUGAUAAGGGUUGAAAUGAAAUUGGACCAGGUGUCCUAAAUAGUACAAGCAACAUCUGUGCAGUUUGUUACACAAGAGGACAAAACUGUGCAGAUGCAUGCCAACUGUACUGUAGCCUUGAACAUCCAGGGACCUGGUCCAUUGUAGUCAUCUACUCAUCAUCAAAACAAGAUAUAAUGAUCUCCCUGGGUUAGGUAGCCGCACUAUUUGGGGGGCAGUUUCUUGCCUCUAUGUUACGCAUUCUUUGGGCUUGGAUUUUGCCUCAGAGAAUUUUUUUAUCAUCUUUUACACCCUUCACGUAACAUGUGAGAAGCUCUUUUCAGUCAAAUGUCGGUGAUAUAAUGGUGUACUUUUGAGCUUGUAUUAAAUGGCCUGCCAAUGGCUUCGUCCGCUUCAAAUUCUUUGCAGGAACUCCCAUUCUUUGAGAGAAAUGGAACUAUUAUACCUAGAGGUGGGCCCCUCCUCUAAUGGACAUUCACCAUUGGGCGCUGAAAAUUAUUGAGUUGGUCUGGUAAAAAAUGCACACUUGGGAACACAUCUCCACAAAAAGGAGUGGAUCUGCAAAGACCAUGGUAUUUGCUUUUCCUAACCUUGCACCUUGCAGACACCUUUCUUGUGUUAAUAAUUUCCCUUUUCUUUAGGGAUUAAGGUUGGCAUUGUUGAGUUACAUUUGUACAACUUCCUGUUAACUCUUAAGAGGUUUUCUCAUUUCCUUGUGCAUCAGCUCGUGGUAGCCGAGUGACUCCCAAGACCACCCCUCAACCAACCAAAAAAAGGAUUCGAGGUCCACACUAUCAGGCAAGAAGUAGAGACUGUGCGAGGUAGCUCCUUUACCUAAAAGGAAUAAGCCCUAGACAUAUAUAUUUGAUGCUACUAUAACAGAGGUCCAACCUUUAGCAUCUCACCUAUAUAUGUUCGGAGGUAAUCUAUCACAUGAAAACAAGAUUGACAAAUUGGUCUGCGAUAAUUUAACUAUACAUAUAGUCCCUGGUUCUCCUAUAAAAAGGGACCAUCUACGAGAUCCAUAUCCUCAUUUGGUUGAUCUUUUUCCUGUAGAGGUGCUAGGGAUCCUGUCACCCAUUAGGAAUUGAGCUCUUUUUAAAGUCUCUUUCAAGACUAUCUCGCGAAAGAAAAGGAACCGAAGGUAUGAAAAGUGGAGAUCGUUGCAGCCCUAAAAGAAAAGUACGUAGCUUGGCGGACCUUUCUUUUACAGACAAGGAGGCUCAGACACACGUAAACCUUAAGGAGAAAGCUGCCGAAGCCACGAUCGCUCGAGCUAAAGCAGAAUUCCUGACAGGGGAGGUCAGCUCUCUUGGUUGGUUCAGUGAUGACUUUUAUUAGAAAUAAAUAAAGUAUAUGUAUCUCAAGUGGUAGCUAAGGAAGAGUCAAGCUCCACGCUUGUCCGUGAGGGAUUAUGUUUUGAGAGCUAGCUGAGGUAAAAUUUGUGUAGAGAAGUUGAGUGUUCUUGAGAAAGUUUUAGCUAAGCCCCUCUCAAUUGAUUAAGAAUUUAGAGCGACUAGAGCAGCCGUUCAAGAGAAUCCACGCCCAUUUUAUGACACCACCGAGGUUGCUUUUCCCAAGAUGACUCAUCAUCAAGUAGCAAUUCCAAAGAUGCUCCUAACUCUGAAGUCAGGCUCCGCUGAACCCCUGCAGCUUCUUCUAAUAUUUUCCUUGUUUUUCCUUGAAUUUGACCCUUCUUACGUUGUACUCUUAUUUACUUUAUUUUGAGACUUCUUUGUGAUGGAUA